AGAGUUUGAUCCUGGCUCAGGACGAACGCUGGCGGCGUGCUUAACACAUGCAAGUCGAACGGAAAGGUCUCUUCGGAGAUACUCGAGUGGCGAACGGGUGAGUAACACGUGGGUGAUCUGCCCUGCACUUCGGGAUAAGCCUGGGAAACUGGGUCUAAUACCGGAUAGGACCACGGGAUGCAUGUCUUGUGGUGGAAAGCGCUUUAGCGGUGUGGGAUGAGCCCGCGGCCUAUCAGCUUGUUGGUGGGGUGACGGCCUACCAAGGCGACGACGGGUAGCCGGCCUGAGAGGGUGUCCGGCCACACUGGGACUGAGAUACGGCCCAGACUCCUACGGGAGGCAGCAGUGGGGAAUAUUGCACAAUGGGCGCAAGCCUGAUGCAGCGACGCCGCGUGGGGGAUGACGGCCUUCGGGUUGUAAACCUCUUUCACCAUCGACGAAGGUCCGGGUUCUCUCGGAUUGACGGUAGGUGGAGAAGAAGCACCGGCCAACUACGUGCCAGCAGCCGCGGAAUACGCAGGGUGCGAGCGUUGUCCGGAAUUACUGGGCGUAAAGAGCUCGUAGGUGGUUUGUCGCGUUGUUCGUGAAAUCUCACGGCUUAACUGUGAGCGUGCGGGCGAUACGGGCAGACUAGAGUACUGCAGGGGAGACUGGAAUUCCUGGUGUAGCGGUGGAAUGCGCAGAUAUCAGGAGGAACACCGGUGGCGAAGGCGGGUCUCUGGGCAGUAACUGACGCUGAGGAGCGAAAGCGUGGGGAGCGAACAGGAUUAGAUACCCUGGUAGUCCACGCCGUAAACGGUGGGUACUAGGUGUGGGUUUCCUUCCUUGGGAUCCGUGCCGUAGCUAACGCAUUAAGUACCCCGCCU
rnacentral:rRNA from 1 species